rnacentral:rRNA from 1 species
UACAGAGACUGCGAGCGUUAUUCGGAUUCACUGGGCGUAAAGGGUGCGCAGGCGGCCAAGUGUGUGAGGCGUGAAAGCCCGGGGCUUAACCCCGGAAUUGCACCUCAAACUACAUGGCUAGAGCAUUGGAGAGGGUAGCGGAAUUCACGGUGUAGCAGUGAAAUGCGUAGAUAUCGUCAAGAACACCGAUAGUGUAGACAGCUUACUAAGCUUUAACUGACGCUGAGGCACGAAAGUGUGGGGAUCAAACAGG